UGCAUUGUGUUUAGGAAACUUUGGGACUCCUGUGUGCGCUGCCGGUCACAUGGAAGCACCACGAAAAACAUUCCGAGAUCGCAAGCCGAAGCGAGUUAAAAAGCGUUUUUAUGCGUUUGUAGAGGAACAAGCAUUGAUAAAAAGCGAUGCCUAUCAAGUACUUUCCCAAGCUGAGCGUUGUUUCGAGGAGGGAGCUUCUGCAAAAGCCAAAUUUCCCUGCGAAUUCAGCAGUUGGUGUCAUAGUUAGACCAAGUUGAAAGGUCAAUUACCUGUGAAGUGUUGUAUCUUCUUGGCUCUCUCAGCGCUCCAGAUUUUAUUAUCCCCAAAAUUUUAUUUCAGAUUCUAGGCUAGUAAGUGACUGUCUUUUCAGGAAAAAUGACCAUUUUUGAUAGAGCAAUGUACCAGAUGCGACUUUUAAGGCCUCAAUUUGUCGGUUUAACGAUCGUGCAAAAUGAUGGAUGCGAGGCUAUAUUUGAGAAAAUCUGUCAAAUAUUCUAUUUUAACUGGAUUAAGCCGGGAUUAAAAUUAUAUUGAGAGUAUAUAUCCUGGUUGCCUUCUGUGGUGUUGUUGUGUUUCUGCGCUGUUUAUUUUCCGCGCGGCAGGUAGCGAUACUUGGUUCAAAUUUUGUAGUGUUUUUCGGGGUCAAGCCGAGAAAAAUAAGGAAAAAUCCA